GCAUGUUGCAAGGGAAGCAUAAAAAAUCUCUCAUAUUCCUGAACAGAAGUUCAAAUAUGCAUAUCCUUGCAAAAAGCAAAACUGCUAAAUGUUAAAAACCUAUACCAGGUGCAUUUUCACAUAUGUCACAACGGGGCACAUCACUAGGAUCAGCAAGCCCAACACGAACAUGUCGACUAGCAAGCUUGUUACAUAAAUGGACCUUCUCAUCACAGGAGCGGCAAAGAGCGGCCUCGUCGGCGGCGCAGAAGAGGAUCGCAGCGGCGCUCUCGCAUACGUCGCAAAGCGUUCGCAUAUCUCUAUUUACUUACUUACUUUUCGUUUCUUUUUUUAAAAUAUUAACUUAAUAAAUUUAAUUCACUCUUUAAUCCGUGCUGCUCAUUGUUAUUCCUUUCUUCCCGUGAGCGCCAUUUCUAUGUUUUGCAGAGCAAAAGAAAAGAAUUGAUCAGUUUCAAAGAGUAUUGAAGAAGGAAACAAGAGAGAGAUUGAGAGAGAUGCAGAAAUGGAGGUUUAAGAGGGACAGCGUGUGAAGGAGAAGAAGUGGAAGAAGCUGAGCAGAGAGGAGGAGAGACACAAAUGGAAGUCGUUUGGAGUCUCAGAAACUGGAGAAAGAAAAGGAAUAGUUUCGACCUUGGCCAAAAGUCUCUAUGUAUUUCCUUUCUUCACUAAUCACUAGUCGCUGCUUUU
rnacentral:misc_RNA from 1 species